rnacentral:rRNA from 1 species
CAGUCGCCGCGGUAAUACGGAGGGGGCUAGCGUUGUUCGGAAUUACUGGGCGUAAAGCGCACGUAGGCGGCUUUGUAAGUUAGAGGUGAAAGCCCGGAGCUCAACUCCGGAAUUGCCUUUAAGACUGCAGAGCUGGCAGGUGAGAGAGGUGAGUGGAAUUCCGAGUGUAGAGGUGAAAUUCGUAGAUAUUCGGAAGAACACCAGUGGCGAAGGCGGCUCACUGGCUCAUACUGGACGCUGAGGUGCGAAAGCGUGGGGAGCAAACAGGAUUAGAUACCCGCGUAGUCCCUGUCUCUUAUAC